AUUGAACGCUGGCGGCAUGCCUUACACAUGCAAGUCGAACGGCAGCACGGGUGCUUGCACCUGGUGGCGAGUGGCGAACGGGUGAGUAAUACAUCGGAACGUACCUUAUCGUGGGGAUAACGCAGCGAAAGCUGUGCUAAUACCGCAUACGACCUGGAGGGUGAAAGCAGGGGAUCGCAAGACCUUGCGUUAUACGAGCGGCCGAUGUCAGAUUAGCUAGUUGGUAGGGUAAAGGCCUACCAAGGCGACGAUCUGUAGCGGGUCUGAGAGGAUGAUCCGCCACACUGGGACUGAGACACGGCCCAGACUCCUACGGGAGGCAGCAGUGGGGAAUUUUGGACAAUGGGCGAAAGCCUGAUCCAGCAAUGCCGCGUGUGUGAAGAAGGCCUUCGGGUUGUAAAGCACUUUUGUCAGGAACGAAAAGGUCUGUGCUAAUACCACGGGCUGAUGACGGUACCUGAAGAAUAAGCACCGGCUAACUACGUG
rnacentral:rRNA from 1 species